CCGUGGUUUGGCUUGGAUAUUGGAGGAACCCUGGUCAAGCUGGUUUAUUUUGAACCUAAAGACAUCACUGCUGAAGAAGAAAAGGAGGAAGUGGAGAGUCUGAAAAGCAUUCGGAAGUACCUGACCUCCAAUGUGGCUUAUGGGUCGACAGGAAUUCGGGACGUGCACCUUGAGCUGAAGGACCUGACUCUGUGUGGACGCAAAGGCAAUCUGCACUUUAUACGCUUUCCCACUCAUGACAUGCCUGCUUUUAUUCAAAUGGGCAGAGAUAAAAACUUCUCAAGUCUCCACACUGUCUUUUGUGCCACUGGAGGUGGAUCAUACAAAUUUGAGCAGGAUUUUCUCACAGUAUGCAUUUUUUAGCUUAUAUACAAUUUAUGGAAAUUUGAUUGUGUAAAAUGAUGCCAAUUACAAGAAUCAUUUCCAUUUCUAAUACAGCUUGAGUACUUUUAGGGAAAUGAAUAUAUAUUUAAAUUAGUGGUAGUCAGGAGUUGAUCCUGUAGUGAUUGUUGGGCAGUGUAGUUCUUACCUGCUUGAAAUAUAUUGGUGUAUCUCAACAUUUUACCAUUUCUUUAGUAUGAAAACUUUGAAUAUGGGAUAAGCACAAAGAUGGGAUAAGAGCCUACAAGGAGUAACAUCAUCCAGUCUCAUUAAGGAAUUAAAAACAAAAUUUUGUAAUUUAGUCCUGGCCUAGGGAGAUGGUUCAGUUGGUAAAGUGUUUAGAGGACCCGAGUUCAUUCCUUAGAACCUACAUAAAUGUCUGGGUAUGGGCCAGAGAGGUAGUUUAAGGACCUGAGUUCAGUUCCCAGUACUUAUGUCAAAACAUAAACUGUCUGUGCUUGAGUGGUAGGAUAUAUGACGCCUACUUGGUCAUCUUAGACAGUGCACACACACAGGGACAAAUAGAACAUGUUAGCUGUGGUGGUACACAUCUUUCAUGUCAGCAGGACCCAGGAGUUAGAGGUUGGCAUAGCUCAUUGAGUUUGGGGCCAGCCUGGUCUACAUAGGAAGCUACAGAUCUGUCAGGGGUAUAUAGACCAUCUCAAACAACUGGUUGGUGGUGUUCCGAGCACUAGGGAGGCAGGACAAGUGGAUUCUAGGGGCUCAGUGGGUAGUUUCUCCGGCUUACAUAGGGAAUUCCAGGCUAGUGAAGAAAUGGGAGAAAGUUAGAUGACACCCAGGUUGUCCUCUGAUUUCCACAUGUGCACACAUACUAUCUGACCACAAAACUGUUUUCAAUCUUGUGUACCACCUAGUUUCUCUUCUGCCACCUCAGUUGUUUUCCAACAUGUCUGGUUAAAAGUUUGUUUGGUUUUUGAGGAGUAGUGGGACAGGAGUGAUGGCUAAGUGGUUAAGAGCUCUGGCUGGUCCCUAGAGUACCCAGGUUUGAUUCCUAGAAUGGCUCUCAACCAUGUUUAAGUACAGUUCCAGGGGAUCCAGGUAAAUACAUACAUGCAGGCAAAAACCCAUACACAUAAAAUUAAAAAUAGAAUAAAAAUUUGAGAGUGGUUCUUUUCAGGCAUUAAAGCUGAUAGCAGAUCUCUCUUACUCAAACUAGGCAAAUACAGUCCCAGCUUGUGCUGUGCCUGCCAACCAAAUUUCUCAAGCACAUCUAAACUCCUAGUGCCAAUACACUACUGUGCAUUAGGUUUUGCUUUUCUCCUGUGAGCUGCCAAGUCUUAAGACUAGGUCUUUUGAGGGUUGAUGUGGCGAAGGAAGUUGCAAGAACUAACAGCUACUUCCUCACUUCUCCCUUUGACUCUGUCAGCACAAAGCAUAACUUUUGCUUCAUGAGCAGCCAGGCUUGGCAACACA
rnacentral:lncRNA from 1 species